AGGUAGAAUUCCCGGUGUAGCGGUGAAAUGCGUAGAGAUCGGGAGGAAUACCAGUGGCGAAGGCGGCCUUCUGGACUGACACUGACGCUGAGGUACGAAAGCGUGGGUAGCAAACAGGAUUAGAUACCCUGGUAGUNCACGCCGUAAACGAUGUCGACUAGCCGUUGGGGUCCUCGAGACCUUUGUGGCGCAGUUAACGCACUAAGUCGACCGCCUGGGGAGUACGGCCGCAAGGUUAAAACUCAAAUGAAUUGACGGGGGCCCGCACAAGCGGUGGAGCAUGUGGUUUAAUUCGAUGCAACGCGAAGAACCUUACCUACCCUUGACAUCGUGCGAACUUUCCAGAGAUGGAUUGGUGCCUUCGGGAGCGCACAGACAGGUGCUGCAUGGCUGUCGUCAGCUCGUGUUGUGAAAUGUUGGGUUAAGUCCCGUAACGAGCGCAACCCUUGUCCCUAUUUGCCAGCGAUUCGGUCGGGAACUCUAGGGAGACUGCCGGUGACAAACCGGAGGAAGGUGGGGACGACGUCAAGUCAUCAUGGCCCUUACGGGUAGGGCUACACACGUGCUACAAUGGCCGGUACAAUGGGUUGCAAAGCGGCGACGUGGAGCUAAUCUCAUAAAGCCGGUCUCAGUCCGGAUCGGAGUCUGCAACUCGACUCCGUGAAGUCGGAAUCGCUAGUAAUCGUGCAUCAGAAUGGCACGGUGAAUACGUUCCCGGGCCUUGUACACACCGCCCGUCACACCAUGGGAGUGGACUGCACCAGAAGUGGUUAGCCUAACU
rnacentral:rRNA from 1 species